UUGGGAUUUAAAUCAACGAAAAUGUAGACUUGGGGAUUUUAAUGACAUUUUUCCCGAAUUCUGGCUUAUUGCAUUGAAGAACAAUGAAAUUACUGCUCAGGAGAUAACUGAGCGAGAUAAAGGGGCUCUCAAGUAUCUUAAAGAUAUCAAGUGGGAGUAGGGUUGAAGAAUCAAAAGGUUUCAAGCUUGAGUUUUCCUUUGAUCAAAACCCUUACUUCAAGAACACUGUCUUGACCAAGACAUAUCCUCGAAAGUGUUUGACACAAAAGAUUCUUAAAAAAGAAGCCAAAGAAAGGAUCCAAAAACACUAAGCCGAUCACUAAGACUGAGGACUGUGAGAGCUUCUUCAACUUUUUCACUCCACCCCAAGUUCCUGAAGACAAUGAGGAUCUUGAUGAUGAAAUGGCUGAUGAACUCCAAGGCCAAAUGGAACACGACUAUGAUAUCGGGUUUGUACCUUUUUAUUUCAU